CCUACGGGAGGCAGCAGUAAGGAAUAUUGGUCAAUGGACGCAAGUCUGAACCAGCCAUGCCGCGUGAAGGAUUAAGGUCCUCUGGAUUGUAAACUUCUUUUAUCUGGGACGAAAAAAGGCGAUUCUUCGUCACUUGACGGUACCAGAUGAAUAAGCACCGGCUAACUCCGUGCCAGCAGCCGCGGUAAUACGGAGGGUGCAAGCGUUAUCCGGAUUCACUGGGUUUAAAGGGUGCGUAGGCGGGCAGGUAAGUCAGUGGUGAAAUCCUAGAGCUUAACUCUAGAACUGCCAUUGAUACUAUCUGUCUUGAAUAUUGUGGAGGUAAGCGGAAUAUGUCAUGUAGCGGUGAAAUGCUUAGAUAUGACAUAGAACACCUAUUGCGAAGGCAGCUUACUACGCAUAUAUUGACGCUGAGGCACGAAAGCGUGGGGAUCAAACAGGAUUAGAUACCCUGGUAGUCCACGCCCUAAACGAUGAUUACUCGACAUUUGUGAUACACUAUAAGUGUCUGAGCGAAAGCAUUAAGUAAUCCACCUGGAAGUACGACCGCAAGUUGAAACUCAAAGGAAUUAGACGG
rnacentral:rRNA from 1 species